GGGGAUGUAGCUCAGUGGCAGAGUGCUUGCCUAGCAGGCGUAAGGCCUGAGUUCAAUCCCCUGCACCACCA
rnacentral:tRNA from 1 species